ensembl:lncRNA
GUUUCUAAUCAUGCUGUUAUUAUUUUACUGCAUUCAUAGAGCUGAUUGAAAGGUGACGGGACCAUUUAAUAUCUCCUGCUUACUGACGACGUGCCUCAUCUUCUCUCUCUGCCUUUUUCGUGUCAUAAUCCCUUCGCCUGUACGUUCCCGAGGCUUCACGGGGGUGAAGGGCGACUUUAUUCUCCUCCAGUUCUGUUUCACGGAAGUACAAUCAAGCUGAGAGGGAAAUGUCUAAAUACUGUAGCAUGAGAUCCGGACGGCGGGACGGAUCCAGUGAUGUGGACCCCAGCGGGGGCUGACGGGACCCUCCAAGUUGAUAUCUGAAGUUGUGUUUUAGCAUCUAUGAAUAUCGUAACAUCUCGAUGGUCACGACCAUCGAAUAGAGAACUUUUACCGCCAGUAUGAUUCACCAGUUCUUCUAUCAGUGGGCCGGCUAUAAAACAAAGAAUGGUCCAAAUGGUAUUAAGGCUAAAAGCAUCUUGCAUUUAUUCCUCCGAUUCCCAUAAGCUCAAUUUCUCUUUUUUGUUCAGUUUGAGAGGUCGUACAGAGGACGUGGCGCUGGUAAACGUUUCCGAUGGAAGGAAAGCUUGACUGUUGGUGAAGCUUCGUGGUUUGUGCCUUGUUCCCAAGUUGCAUUUAAUAUGUCGAACAUAUAAGAUGACUCGUAAUAAUAUCUAGGGACUGUCGUUCUGAUCACAAGCGGUUGUAAUUUAGUUUGUUUCUUUUUCCUCAUGUGUAUUUAAAGGGAGAAGUUGGGUCACCUCGGUACUGUUCCCAACAUCACACCGCUGAGAGGCCCUUCGCUCCCGCGUCAUUUAUUCUAAACCUGAAGUCCAGAUGAGUCCGAGUUGUUCUGUGACGCCACUCAGACCACGCGUGUGUUCAGCCAAUCAGCUUUCUUCACUUGCUCGGAAAUCUGUCUUUUUAUGUUGAAAUGGGUUUGGUCCUCUGCAGCGACGUUGUCUCCAUGCUGACGGGACGCUCGUCUCUGUCCGUAGUCGCGGUUCUGUGAAGGAGUUGUGUUACUCAGAAGACUUGUUCUUUAUUCGACUGCAUUGUACCAUAAUGUUCUCAUGUUAAUUAGUCUUUUCUUACACGUUAACACAUUGUUUUUCGUUAGAGCAAAUUAAAUAAAAAUUGCAAUACAAGACUCAAAGCUUUUUCUUUUAGAGUGACGUUAGGGACCAUGAAGCCGUUACACACCGAAAGUGUCCCCAACAAACGCGCAAGUGACAUUUAUUCGCAUGUGGAUAUUAUUAUGUGUCUUGGGCUUUUAUUGUGAAAGAUAUGAACCGAGGACUAGCUUGAGCUUCUUUGUCAAGGUUGAAGGUAUAAUAAAAUCUGCCUUCCUAGUCGGUGUAUUAUGGUUUCAGAAGUAUGGCAUCUUCCAUGCAGUGUGGUUGGUUAAUGCUUUUGUGUGCUGUGCAUUAGCUCCUCUUGCAAAAAAGUCACCUUUUUAAUUGCGUAACAUUUUCAAAAUUUCAUCAAAAAUUGUUUUGUAUUAAUUAAUUAACAAGAAAUAUGCCUCAAUGGCCGAGGACAUUAGCCCAAUCUAAUUUCCUUUCGGGCUGAAUUCAAACAUUACCACAAUAUCUUAGCCAAUCCACAAUUAACUGUAUAAUAAACUUACUCUUUAAGUUAAUAAAACUGACCCACCAAAGU